AAUGAACGCUGGCGGCAGGCCUAACACAUGCAAGUCGAACGGAUCCUUCGGGAUUAGUGGCGGACGGGUGAGUAACGCGUGGGAACACACCCUUUGGUACGGAAUAGCCUCGGGAAACUGGGAGUAAUACCGUAUGUGCUCGAAAGAGGAAAGAUUUAUCGCCUUUGGAUUGGCCCGCGUUGGUUUAGGUAGUUGGUGGGGUAAUGGCCUACCAAGCCGACGAUCCAUAGCUGGUUUGAGAGGAUGAUCAGCCACACUGGGACUGAGACACGGCCCAGACUCCUACGGGAGGCAGCAGUGGGGAAUCUUAGACAAUGGGGGAAACCCUGAUCUAGCCAUGCCGCGUGAUCGAUGAAGGCCUUAGGGUUGUAAAGAUCUUUCAGGUGGGAAGAUAAUGACUGUACCACCAGAAGAAGUCCCGGCUAACUCCGUGCCAGCCGCCGCGGUAA
rnacentral:rRNA from 1 species